CGGUGAAUACGUUCCCGGACCUUGUACACACCGCCCGUCAAGCCAUGGAAGCUGGGUGUACCUAAAGUCGGUAACCGCAAGGAGCCGCCGUAGGGUAAAACUAGUAACUGGGGCU
rnacentral:rRNA from 1 species